UGUGUGUGUGUGUGCGUGUGUGUGUGUAGGAUCACCUCAAAACAACAUAAACACUGGUCCAAUGGUGCUGCCUUUAUUAUGUAAUCACAUACAGUAUCUACCAUUAUUGUUUAUUAUUGCACAUUCACGUUAGCGGUACAGACAAUAGUGCAACUCUCUACAGACGCGCGACAUGACGCGCGACACGACGCGCGACACGACGCGUUACCGUGCGGCGUCCCGACUCGACACGCUUCGUCUUAGCGUAUGCGGCGUGAAGCUUUAAGAUGGUGGGCGGAGCUGCCUGCAGCUGCUUAAGUGAUGCUGUUGGACGGGGGACGGCGUGCGGAAAGGGAACGACGUUUCUACACGUAAUAGAAACGAAACCGCGACUCGCGCACACACUCAGAGGAGUCCGAAAAAACAACAAAAAAGUAUUAUUAUUAUUAUUUAAAAAAAAAAAAAAAUUCACAGCAAGAACUGUAUUUUUUUUUAACACUUUGAUAUCAUUCUUUAAUUUUUUAACGCUUUUUAAAACGUAUAUUAAAUGUUUUGUUUCUCUCUGUAAUACGUCGCUAGGUGAUUUCGUUGGCACUUUGGUUUGUUUUCACGGGCAGGUGUGAAGUCUGAUGCUCUCCGGUAAGACGACACGACUCUGUCUCGUGUACCGUAUCAUCCAUAAGCUGAUCUUUUGAUGUCUUAAGAUUUAUUCCAUCAGACUUGACGUUGACUGACCGUAUGUUCAUUAUUUGUAUUAUUAUUAUUAUUAUUCGUUCCAGGCACAGGUGGCAAGUCUUUCUUGAGGCACGGCUGAACGAACGAACUGGGCUCGAGCUUCACGUGCGAGUUCGGUGGUUAGGACAAAGAAAACGUAAAUAAAUAAACGUAUCAGAUCUGUUCUGAUCACCCUCGUACGUUUGGUCCGCGUGGAAAUAAACGGCGGUCGCGGCGUCUCUCGCGACCGACGGAUGCGUCGUUUGGGACGGCCCUCUCGAUACGGGGUCAAAAGAAAUAGACGAACUAUAUACAUCGGGACUCGGUGAUUAAUUAUUCUCGUGUGUGAUUAAUAAAGGAAUAUAAUACACAUAGGUUUUUUCUUCUUCUUCGUAAGGAGAUAUAAAAACAGGUAAUAAUAAUAAUAAUAAUAAAAAACAAAAAAAACACGUACAGAUAGAUGUCCAUAAAUUAAAAAAAAUAAUAAUAAAACAACGAAGUGACUUUAUACAUAUUAUCAAAAGCAAAAUGACGAUGAGGGAGUCAGCAGGUGCUGAGAUUAUUCGGGUACGGUUAUGUGCUGCACUGCGUGUGAGCUGUUAAUCCUACAGAAAUCCUACAUACGCGUGACGUAAGCCUUCAUACGGGUCGAGUAACGAGGCCUGGAUUAUUUCAUCUGGUUUAUUUUGAACCGGGAGCGAGGUCCGGAGAGACGACGGCGUCGUGUGGGGGAAGGUUACGCUUCGUUAAGAGAACCUGGAUUCCUGGUCGCGUCGGCUGUGAAGCGGACCUCCGGAAAAAAUCACGUCUUCCGGAUCCAAAAUGGCCGCCUCUCGAGAUUGAUAUAGAGAGGGUUUGUUUGAAGGAAACAGGAAAUAAGGCGCUAAAGAGGCGCUACGGAUGCUUUGGUUGGAAGGUGCGCGCGCACACGCAUGCACGAGCUGCGGGAGUUAAAUCGCACCCUGUUCUCUAUGUAGAGCGCAUGGCAUCGAGUGUGAAGUGCACCGUGUCAAGUGUCCGUAAAUCCCAUAAUGCAGUUCGUAGGGAGUAUGAAGCAGGGUGGAUGAAGUUCUCUGUGAGACGAAAUCGUCCAUAAAAUGUCUCGAAUGUAUGUCUCACGGCGUGUGUGUGUGUGUGCGUGUUUGUGUGUGUUUUCUCGUUGUCCUUCCGUAUUCAGCGGAGUUUCUCUCGGGCUUUUUAAUCAGCCGGGCCAGGCGUGUGCUCGGGAUUCUGGGAUCUUUGGCCGUCGUCCAUCCCGUCCUGUGCUCUCUCGCUCUCUCUCUGUCUGUCCUCCGUUUGUCUCGGGACGGAUCGAGUCUCUACGUCUUGGACAGAGUGGGCGGAGCGAUUGGACGGGGGCCGCUUUAGAAUCGGCUGCGUGUCUCUUCAAACCGGGUGAGAGGGCAGUUCCAGCAGGGAGGGGCGGAGCUUUGAGCCGGUUUCCAUGGUGAUGCAGUCGUCCUUGGCCAGCUGGCGUCGGGUGGCACUGAAGUAGGCAUUCAUCAGCUGCAUGAUCUCAGUCAGCUGAGAGAGAGAGAGAGAGAGAGAGAGAGAGAGAGAGAGAGAGAUUAGAACAAAAUGAUCCAGUGCAGUGUGGUGAAGAAGCUGAGAGAGAGAGAGAGAGAGAGAGAGAGAUAAAGAGAGAGAGAUAGAGUGAUUAUAGAGAUAAGAGAGAGAGAUGGAGAAAGUGAUCUAGAGAUAAAGAGAGAGAGUGAUAGAAGAAGAAAGAGUGAUUGAGAUAUACAGAGAGAGAGAUAUAGAAAUACACACAGAGGGAGAGAGAGAGAUAUAGAGAUACACAGAGAGAUACACAGAGAGGGAGAGAGAUAGAGAUACACAGAGAGAUACACAGAGAGGGAGAGAGAGUGAGAUAGAGAUACAGAGAGAGAGAUAGAGAUACACAGAGAGAGAUACACACACACACAGAGAGAGAGAGAGAUAUAGAGAUACACAGAGAGAGAUACACACACACAGAGAGAGAGAGAUAUAGAGAUACACAGAGCGAGAGAUAGAGAGAGAGAGAUAGAGAUACACAGAGAGAGAUAUAGAGAUACACAGAGAGAGAGAGAUAGAGAUACACAGAGAGAGAUACACAGAGAGGGAGAGAUAUAGAGAUACACAGAGAGAGAUACACACACACAGAGAGAGAGAUAUAGAGAUACACAGAGAGAGUGAUAUAGAGAUACACAGAGAGAGAUACACAGAGAGGGAGAGAGAGUGAUAUAGAGAUACACAGAGAGAGAUACACAGAGAGGGAGAGAGAGUGAUAUAGAGAUACACAGAGAGAGAGAUACACAGAGAGAGAGAGAUAGAGAUACACAGAGAGAGAGUGAUAUAGAGAUACACAGAGAGAGAGAUACACAGAGAGGGAGAGAUAGAGAUACACAGAGAGAGAGUGAGAGAGAGUGAUAUAGAGAUACACAGA
ensembl:lncRNA